UCCUACGGGAGGCAGCAGUGGGGAAUCUUCCACAAUGGACGAAAGCCUGAUGCAGCAACGCCGCGUGAGUGAAGAAGGCCUUCGGAUCGUAAAACUCUGUUGUAAGGGAAGAACACGUGCGAGAUAAUCUGCCCCGACCUUGACGGUACUUUAUAUAAAAAGCCACCGGCUAACUACGUGCCAGCAGCCGCGGUAAU
rnacentral:rRNA from 1 species